rnacentral:rRNA from 1 species
AUUGAACGCUGGCGGCAGGCCUAACACAUGCAAGUCGAGCGAGCGGCGGACGGGUGAGUACUGUCUGGGAAACUGCACGCUGGAGGGGGAUAACUACUGGAAACGGUAGCUAAUACCGCAUACCAUCAGAUGUGCCCCGAUGGGAUUAGCUAGUAGGUGGGGUAACGGGUCACCUAGGCGACGAUCCCUAGCUGGUCUGAGAGGAUGACCAGCCACACUGGAACGGAGACACGGUCCAGACGCCUACGGGAGGCAGCAGUGGGGAAUAUUGCACAAUGGGCGCAAGCCUGAUGCAGCCAUGCCGCGUGUGUGAAGAAGGCCUUCGGGUUGUAAAGCACUUUCAGCGGGGAGGCGUUACCCGCAGAAGAAGCACCGGCUAACUCCGUGCCAGCAGCCGCGGUAAUUC